UACGUAGGGUGCGAGCGUUGUCCGGAAUUAUUGGGCGUAAAGAGCUCGUAGGCGGUGUGUCACGUCGGCCGUGAAAACCUGCAGCUUAACUGUGGGCGUGCGGUCGAUACGGGCGUCACUGGAGUUCGGCAGGGGAGACUGGAAUUCCUGGUGUAGCGGUGAAAUGCGCAGAUAUCAGGAGGAACACCGGUGGCGAAGGCGGGUCUCUGGGCCGAUACUGACGCUGAGGAGCGAAAGCGUGGGGAUCAAACAGG
rnacentral:rRNA from 1 species